GAGAAAAGAUGCAAAAUAAUGAAAACAAACGGAACAAAAGUUGAACGAAUAGGAAUAAUCCAAUUCAAAGAUUUCUAAUUGUAAGAAAAAGUCCAAUGCCUGCGCAGUAUUUCUUCAAAUUAUUUUCUUUACCUUGACGAUAGUAUAAUAAAAUGUUUUUGAAAUUUUACCACAAGGGUUUGUGAACAAAUCUCUUAUUUAUAAAUGUGCUUAAAUGUAUACCGGCAAAAGCCGCUGGAAGUUUGCAAUCCCUCAAAUGGAAAGUACUUAUUACGGCAAAGAUUAAAAGGCACUAAGGAAUAUUACACACAAAUAACGACAUUAUAAGAUACCUAGUGCCUUUGAGGUGUUGUAGUUACGAGUUGAUAGCGACUAAUUGGAUGUCGUGUGAAUAUAUAUCUACAUCUUCAAACAACGAUUUUUAAUAUUAAUAUUCUACCAAUGGCUCGUCCGUUAUACGAAACGCAUUUAGUUCCAAUUGUAGUUGGUAUUGCAGCAGUGGUGGUGGGUGCUGCUAUCAUUAAUUAUAUUCUUAAUAAGAAAUCGUCGAAACCACGACCUGAACCCAAUCGCACCGCUCGCCUGCGCACACUAGUUGAUCCAAAUGACAAAUAUCAGUUGCCAUUAAUUGAGAAAGAAAUUCUUAGCCACGAUACUCGACGUUUUCGGUUUGGUUUACCAUCGAAUCAACAUGUUCUUGGAUUACCAGUUGGACAGCACAUUCAUUUGAUCGCAACCAUAGAUAACGAAUUGGUCAUUCGUCCUUAUACUCCAAUAUCCAGUGAUGAUGACGUUGGUUAUGUCGAUUUGGUCAUUAAAGUAUAUUUUAAGAAUGUUCAUCCAAAAUUCCCAGGAGGUGGCAAAAUGACACAAUAUUUAGAUCAAAUGAAUAUCGGCGAUAAAAUCUCCUUCCGUGGUCCUUCCGGACGAUUACAAUAUCAAGGUCAAGGCCGUUUUCAAGUUAAGAAGCUUCGAAAAGAUCCACCAAAGACUAUAACGGCAAAGCGUGUAAAUAUGAUAUCCGGUGGCACUGGAAUUACACCAAUGUUACAGCUAAUACGGGAUGUUCUAAAACACAAUGAUAAAGACAAAACUGAACUUGCCCUAUUAUUUGCCAAUCAGAGUGAAGCCGAUAUUUUGUUGCGUAACGAAUUGGACGAUUUAGUCAAAAAAUAUCCAGAUCAAUUAAAGGUGUGGUAUACGAUUGAUAAAGCUUCUGAAGUCUGGCCAUAUAGCGUUGGGUAUGUCAAUGAUGAAAUGAUGCGCUCUCAACUUUUUUUGCCGAGUUCAAACACGCUUUGCUUACUGUGUGGUCCACCACCGAUGGUCAAUUAUACUUGUAUACCCGGCUUGGAGCGCAUCGGUCAUCAUGCUGAUAUGCGUUUUAGUUACUAAGUGGAUAAACGUAUAACGUAAAAAAUGUAUACAUAGUUAAACUUUUAUCAGGCUGGAUAUAUGAUGUCGGCUUUAUAAACGAUGACAUGAUUAAACAACAUCUUUUCCCAGCUUCUGAAGAUACUUUGGUGUUAAUGUGCGGUCCACCACCGAUGAUAAAUUUCGCUUGUAAUCCAGCUUUAGAUAAAUUGGAAUUUCAUCCAGAUACCAGAUUCGCAUAUUAAAAAUACAUAAACAAGUUAAGUUUAUUAUACAGUCGUCCAUAUAAUAUGCACUAAAGUACUAUAUAAUUAUAAAUGUGCAUAAGCGAUAAAAUGUUAAUUAUCUUGUUAUUAAUGCUGUUGGUUUAAUAUAUAGUCAAAUUGCAGACUCAUUAUAAAUCACUAUCAAAGCAUUGUAAAAACUUAUUGAAUUGUAAAGAAAAUCAUAAAUUAAAAAAUAAUUAACUUUAUUAUUUUGCAAUAAACUCGUUUCUUUUAUCUAUAA
rnacentral:misc_RNA from 1 species